UAUUGCACAAUGGGGGAAACCCUGAUGCAGCGACGCCGCGUGAGUGAAGAAGUAUUUCGGUAUGCAAAGCUCUAUCAGCAGGGAAGAAAAAAGACGGUACCUGACUAAGAAGCACCGGCUAACUACGAGCCAGCAGCCGCGGUAAUACGCAGGGGGCAAGCGUUAUCCGGAUUUACUGGGUGUAAAGGGAGCGUAGAAGGCGCGGCAAGUCUGAAGUGAAAGGCAGGGGCUUAACCCCUGAACUGCUUUGGAAACUGCCAUGCUAGAGUGCGGGAGAGGUAAGUGGAAUUCCUAGUGUAGCGGUGAAAUGCGUAGAUAUUAGGAGGAACACCAGUGGCGAAGGCGGCUUACUGGACAGUAACUGACGUUGAGGCUCGAAAGCGUGGGGAGCAAACA
rnacentral:rRNA from 1 species